GACCAGGCAUGUGGUUUACGAAAUAAGGUUCAUAGCCUUCUAUGAAGAGUGUGGAAGAAUCACAACAAUGAAGAGAAGAUAUGUUUCUUGGGGAGCAUGUUCAAUCUAAUUCAAGUAGAUACAUGGAGUCGUGAAGAUAAAUUCUGAUCACACCGCAUUCUGGUCAUCAUUACCUAGUUGAAGAGGUUUAUUGGAGAAGAACUAUCAGUGUUUUAAAGCAGUGGUCUUCAAACGGGGGCACACAAAGACUUUCCAAG
rnacentral:lncRNA from 10 species